AUGAACGCUAGCGACAGGCUUAACACAUGCAAGUCGAGGGGCAGCACAGGUAGCAAUACCGGGUGGCGACCGGCGCACGGGUGAGUAACGCGUAUGCAACUUGCCUAUCAGAGGGGGAUAACCCGGCGAAAGUCGGACUAAUACCGCAUGAAGCAGGGAUCCCGCAUGGGAAUAUUUGCUAAAGAUUCAUCGCUGAUAGAUAGGCAUGCGUUCCAUUAGGCAGUUGGCGGGGUAACGGCCCACCAAACCGACGAUGGAUAGGGGUUCUGAGAGGAAGGUCCCCCACAUUGGUACUGAGACACGGACCAAACUCCUACGGGAGGCAGCAGUGAGGAAUAUUGGUCAAUGGCCGAGAGGCUGAACCAGCCAAGUCGCGUGAGGGAUGAAGGUUCUAUGGAUCGUAAACCUCUUUUAUAAGGGAAUAAAGUGCGGGACGUGUCCCGUUUUGUAUGUACCUUAUGAAUAAGGAUCGGCUAACUCCGUGCCAGCAGCCGCGGUAAUACGGAGGAUCCGAGCGUUAUCCGGAUUUAUUGGGUUUAAAGGGUGCGUAGGCGGCCUUUUAAGUCAGCGGUGAAAGUCUGUGGCUCAACCAUAGAAUUGCCGUUGAAACUGGGGGGCUUGAGUAUGUUUGAGGCAGGCGGAAUGCGUGGUGUAGCGGUGAAAUGCAUAGAUAUCACGCAGAACCCCGAUUGCGAAGGCAGCCUGCCAAGCCAUUACUGACGCUGAUGCACGAAAGCGUGGGGAUCAAACAGGAUUAGAUACCCUGGUAGUCCACGCAGUAAACGAUGAUCACUAGCUGUUUGCGAUACACUGUAAGCGGCACAGCGAAAGCGUUAAGUGAUCCACCUGGGGAGUACGCCGGCAACGGUGAAACUCAAAGGAAUUGACGGGGGCCCGCACAAGCGGAGGAACAUGUGGUUUAAUUCGAUGAUACGCGAGGAACCUUACCCGGGUUUGAACGCAUUCGGACCGAGGUGGAAACACCUUUUCUAGCAAUAGCCGUUUGCGAGGUGCUGCAUGGUUGUCGUCAGCUCGUGCCGUGAGGUGUCGGCUUAAGUGCCAUAACGAGCGCAACCCUUGCCACUAGUUACUAACAGGUAAAGCUGAGGACUCUGGUGGGACUGCCAGCGUAAGCUGCGAGGAAGGCGGGGAUGACGUCAAAUCAGCACGGCCCUUACAUCCGGGGCGACACACGUGUUACAAUGGCGUGGACAAAGGGAAGCCACCUGGCGACAGGGAGCGAAUCCCCAAACCACGUCUCAGUUCGGAUCGGAGUCUGCAACCCGACUCCGUGAAGCUGGAUUCGCUAGUAAUCGCGCAUUAGCCAUGGCGCGGUGAAUACGUUCCCGGGCCUUGUACACACCGCCCGUCAAGCCAUGGGAGCCGGGGGUACCUGAAGUUCGUAACCGCGAGGAUCGGCCUAGGGUAAAACUGGUGACUGGGGCU
rnacentral:rRNA from 1 species